rfam:Asian citrus Psyllid, Diaphorina citri - Florida Strain, whole genome shotgun sequence.
GCUCCCAUGGCGUAGUGGUCACUGCGCUCGCCUUGCAUGCGCGGGAGACCCGGGUUCGAUUCCCGGUGGGGUCA